rnacentral:piRNA from 1 species
UAUCCCUUGAAUAACUGGCCUCUACCU